rnacentral:rRNA from 1 species
GGCUUAGAGUUUGAUCCUGGCUCAGGAUGAACGCUGGCGGCGUGUCUAAGGCAUGCAAGUCGAAUGGGUUUAGACCCAUGGCAAACGGGAGAGUAACACAUUGGUAACCUACUUCCAACUGGAGCAUAACUCAUCGAAAGGUGAGAUAAUUCUCCAUUAAUUGGAUAAUCAUAAGAUUGUUCAAUAAAGAUUUAUCGGUUGGAAAGGGGCCUAUGGUCUAUCAGCUAGUUGGUGGUGUAAUGGACUACCAAGGCUAUGACGGAUAGCGGGUGUGAGAGCACGACCCGCCCCACUGGGACUGAGACACUGCCCAGACACCUACGGGUGGCUGCAGUCAAGAAUAUUCCUCAAUGGACGAAAGUCUGAAGGAGCGACGCCGCGUGACUGAUGAAGUCCUUCGGGAUGUAAAGGUCUUUUCUCAGGGAAGAACUAUGACGGUACCUGAGGAAUAAGAGGUUGCUAACUCUGUGCCAGCAGCAGCGGUAAUACAGAGACCUCGAGCGUUAUCCGGAUUGAUUGGGUGUAAAGCGUGCGCAGGCGGUAAAAUUAAGUCUGUGGUUAAAUCUGGCAGCUCAACUGCAAGACUGCCACGGAAACUAGUUUACUAGAGCAUGGAAGAGGUUAGCGGAAUUGCCGGUGUAACGGUAAAAUGUGUUAAUAUCGGCAAGAACACCAGAUGCGAAUGCGGCUAACUGGGACAUUGCUGACGCUGUUGCACGAAAGCGUGGGGGAGCGAAUGGGAUUAGAUACCCCAGUAGUCCACGCCCUAAACGAUGGAUAUUAGUCAUUGGCAGUAUUCGACCCUGCCAGUGGCGGUUAAAAUAGCUAACGCAUUAAAUAUCCCACCUGGGAAGUACGGCCGCAAGGCUAAAACUCAAAGGAAUUGACGGGGGCCCGCACAAGCGGUGGAGCAUGUGGUUUAAUUCGACGAUAACCGGAAAACCUCACCAGGGCUUGAAAUGUAGCUGCAAAUUCGCUGAAAGGCGAACUUCUUCGAGAGUGCUACACAGGUGCUGCAUGGUUGUCGUCAGCUCGUGUCGUGAGAUGUCGGGUUAAGUCCUUUAACGAGCGCAACCCUCAUCUUGUGUUAAAUAUUCACAAGAGACUGCCCAGCUUAACUGGGAGGAAGGUGGGGAUGACGUCAAAUCAGCAUGGCCCUUACGCCCUGGGCAACACACGUGCUACAAUGGCCGGUACAAAGGGCUGCUAAGUCGCGAGACGGAGCUAAUCCUUAAAACCGGUCUCAGUUCGGAUUGAAGUCUGCAAUUCGACUUCAUGAAGCCGGAAUCGCUAGUAACCGUGAAUCAGCAUGUCACGGUGAAUACGUUCUCGGGCCUUGUACACACCGCCCGUCACACCAAGGGAGUUGGUAAUACCCGAAGGCUGCGCUAGUCGUGGACGAAGGUAGGACCAAUGACAGGGGUGAAGUCGUAACAAGGUAACCAAGC